UUCGGUUUGUUUCCCAACAACAGGCUUGUUGAAACUUGUUGUGACAGGACAAAAAUUGUUUGUUGUGGACAGGUUUGUCGCAGGUCUGAUAACAAGCUUGCUGCAGACUUGACAAAAACAACUCGCGACAGGUCUGUUGGAACAGGUUGUAACAGACCUGUUGAUUUCAACAGACUUGCUGCAAGUUGUUCUAUCAGACCUGUUAUCUCUUGUUAGUAACAGGCUUGUAGCGGGUUGUUUCAACAAGUCG